rnacentral:tRNA from 1 species
UAGACAUUAGUAAAAUACAUAUUACAUCACCUUGUCAAGGUGAAAUUGUGGGCUAUUGAUCCCCGCAUGUCUAA